GGAGAAGAAGAAAGCAUUGGGAAAAUCAGAGAUUAAGGCGUCAAGUAACGCUGAUGAUAACAGCAGAGAUACACAGCAGGAUCAGUUUAGGCAGGAGGCAGUCAGCAAGAAGGAGAAGAAUGUGAGUCCCUAAUAUCUCCAGGAAUGAAGGAAGCUAUACAGUCCAUAUUGCAGGAUUCUGGAAUGGAUGACGAUUCCAUUAAGUGGUCUGAAAACCAUCAAAUUUAGGCAGUAUAGAGGAAGAAUCAUCAGAAGUGGCCCAGAUCUGUCAAGAAUGGGAGCCACCAACAUUUGCCAUGGAUGCAGAUAUACUGAGUUCAAAAGUUCAGGUAACAGGUAGUGAACGAGGAGUGAAUAAGGACUCGUCUGUAAAAAUCUAUAACAUUGUCCAUCCAUACAAGUUCUCUCAGGAAAUGCUUCAGACCUGCAGGGUAUUAGGCCAGCUGGACAAGAGUUCAUAGCCUGUAAAAUUACUUACACUUCUUCUGAUCCAACUCUACACAAAGUGAAUGAAAUUAUAGUACUUUUUGACCAACAUGCAGUCCACGAGAGAGUGCGUCUUGAGACCCUCACUGAAGAGAACUACGAAUCCCUAGAAAAUGGAGAGCGUGUGAUUCGCACUUGUAUGAUUACACCACCCUGGAAAUGACCCUUCCCGAGAGUGAAGUUAGACUGAUGAUGGCAUACACAAGAACAUUAAUACAAUGGGGCCUUCAUUUCACACAAGUCAGUGCAUCACAGGUGAAUUUCCACUCUAUACCAAGUAUUCUGGUUGCACGGGAACGACAUGAGCUUCGUCAGCGUCGCUGCCAGUCAGCGACAGCCAU